rnacentral:rRNA from 1 species
CCUACGGGUGGCAGCAGUGGGGAAUAUUGCACAAUGGGGGAAACCCUGAUGCAGCGACGCCGCGUGAGUGAAGAAGUAUCUCGGUACGUAAAGCUCUAUCAGCAGGGAAGAAAAUGACGGUACCUGACUAAGAAGCCCCGGCUAACUACGUGCCAGUAGCCGCGGUAAUACGUAGGGGGCAAGCGUUAUCCGGAUUUACUGGGUGUAAAGGGAGCGUAGACGGGAGGACAAGUCUGGAGUGAAAUUCCGGGGCUUAACCCGGAAAUUGCUUUGGAAACUGGGCGGCUGGAGUGCAGGAGGGGUAAGCGGAAUUCCUAGUGUAGCGGUGAAAUGCGUAGAUAUUAGGAGGAACACCGAUGGCGAAGGCGGCUUACUGGACUGUAACUGACGUUGAGGCUCGAAAGCGUGGGGAGCAAACAGGAUUAGAUACCCCUGUAGUC